rnacentral:sRNA from 1 species
GCUUCCGGCCCCUUUCCCUGGAGGGGCUUUGCGCGUGGCGAGUCUGUGUCCUCCCUGUCCCUCCGAGCAGAGAGCCUCCCCGUAUCUGGACCGGGGAGGAGCAGACGCUGGACAGGUGUCUGACUCCGCAGGGCCCUGGUGGUGUAAAGGUACUGAGACUUGCCUGUGUUUAGGGCUUCCUGAAGAUUAAAUGGCUGCUGAAGUUCUUGAGUUUAGCUCUAGCUCAAAAGAUACUGCGUCAGACUCUGCGUUCUGAGUAGAGUCUCAGAGAAUGAAAAAAGAAAUACGAUGAAAAAGGGGAAAACUUCAAUCCAGAAUCUCUUGCCACAGUUUCUGGGAGAAUGCUGGCAAUUCCCAGGAAGAUACGUGGAGAACGGAAAGGUUGCUACACCCAAAUAGUGGAGCAAAGCUAUGAUUAUGGAGGAUUGGACCUGCAAACUCCAGAACAGAGCAACCUUGUAAAAUGUGUGUGGGCAGCACAGAGACCUUGGGCAAGUUAACAGUUUCCUCAUCUAAAUAGUGAUUUAUGGAAAGCACCUGGUGCGUG